UUGCUUAACGUCCAGUGGCAAAUAUUUCAUGCAUAUUUCGAACGAUAAAUGAACACGAGCCAGCUUCUCAAAUUUCUUCAGAUGGUCUUCUGUUUUCAUAUCCAAAAUUUUUGAGAAAAGAUUUUAAAAGCGGUGUUCUGAAUGAUCCAUAUAAUGAAAAUAACCUGGAAGCAUAUCAAGGGGUGAAUAUUUACCUUGGGUUUUUGUGGCUUCACGAA
rnacentral:lncRNA from 1 species